rnacentral:snoRNA from 1 species
AGCCUCCUGGUGCUUAUGAGGCUAUGUUCUUAUACUGUAUAGAAAGAGGAGGCAGAGUAAACCCAUCCAUAUACACCUGAGCCCAGGUCCUUUGUCUGGUCUGUAUUGUGAAUGGGGAACAUCA